UGUACAGCUGAUUUCUCCUUAUGGAAGAAAGGCAUAGAGCUAUCAUCAUUUAAGUGAUUUCCAGUGGGAGAUUAAGACACAAGACAACACACAAACUGAGGGGAAACCAUAUGUGAACACAGGAAAGAAGACAGCCAUCUUCAAGGCAAAAAAGAGUCCUCAGGAGAAACUGCAUCAGCAGACACCUUGAUCAUGGACUUCCGGGCUUCAAAAUUGAACCACAUAGUAUCCCAAGAAGGGAAACAAUUCAAUCAGUAAGAAGG